AAAGUGAGACCAGGGCUUUAGUUAAAGCCUUCAGUUACCCAGGGGAAGGUGAAGCCUGAGUUGUGGUGAUGAAUCCGGGAGGCCUCUGCUGGGAUCUUGUCAGGGCGCUAGAGCUGCCUUUGCUCCAAGGCGAGGCGCCGGCGGCAGGGCAGGGCCGGGCCCCUGGAGCACCGUAUGUAGCAGUGUGCGAGCGGCGACGACAGCGGGAGCCGGGCGUGGCGCCCCCGCGGUAAUCUCGCUUAGAAUGAAUUCUAGUAUUUGCUAUUACUCUAACUGAUUCCAUGGUCAGCCUCGCA
rnacentral:lncRNA from 1 species